rnacentral:rRNA from 1 species
AGCAACGCGCAGAACCUUACCAACCUUUGACAUGUCCAGUAUGAUCGCCAGAGAUGGCUUUCUUCAGUUCGGCUGGCUGGAACACAGGUGCUGCAUGGCUGUCGUCAGCUCGUGUCGUGAGAUGUUGGGUUAAGUCCCGCAACGAGCGCAACCCUCGCCCUUAGUUGCCAUCAUUUGGUUGGGCACUCUAAGGGGACUGCCGGUGAUAAGCCGCGAGGAAGGUGGGGAUGACGUCAAGUCCUCAUGGCCCUUACAGGUUGGGCUACACACGUGCUACAAUGGCGGUGACAAUGGGCAGCGAAGGGGCGACCUGGAGCUAAUCCCAAAAAGCCGUCUCAGUUCGGAUUGCACUCUGCAACUCGAGUGCAUGAAGGUGGAAUCGCUAGUAAUCGUGGAUCAGAACGCCACGGUGAAUACGUUCCCGGGCCUUGUACACACCGCCCGUCACACCAUGGGAGUUGGUCUUACCCGACGGCGCUGCGCCAACCGCAAGGGGGCAGGCGACCACGGUAGGGUCA